CAGAAAAGUCCCACCUUCACCAAGUCUAGAGUCUUGGUCACUGUAAACUCUAGGAAAACUAGAAAAUGCCAAGAAUGAUCACAAAAACCAAGCUAUAGCACAACACAUGGGAAUUUUCUGUGAAAUAUUAAAGCUGUCAACCAAGAAUGCCCCAGCAAAGCUAAAUUCAUUCUUAUUUUCAAGGCUUGGCAGGUGGUUCAGCUUCCUCUCUCCUCCACCCCCUGUCCUGCGAAGCUAGGGCUCCAUCAUGCUGGAGAAAUAAAGACAGUGACUUUAAACUUCAUGCCUUUUUGUCACAGAAACAAACCGGAGUCGGUGGAAAUGUCACCUUGCAGACAAACCCACGAGCAAGGCAGUGCUUUGAAGAGGUUUCAGAAAGUUCUCACCUGCUGUGAGGCGGGGACAAGGCAGCGAGUGGAGAGCACAUCAAAACCUGUGAAUGUCUGCUGUGCCAGGCAGCCAGGAGUCUCAGUCUCACUGGAGUUACAGCAAAAAGCUAUGCUGAAAUAAGAAGGAGAAACAUUAUAACGUGGAUAAAAGGAGGAAGAUUUUCACCUCUCUCCCAUGGAGUAGCUGAGCAAAGCACUGUCUUCAGUGGGGCUUGUGACCCACUGAGGCCACAGAGGCCCCCAUGCUGUCAGUUCUGUGGCUCCUCCUCCAACCCCUAUAGGUGCACAAGCAGCUGCCUAGGCAAAUCUGAGACACUGGCUGGUCUCAGAUCCAGGAAGUGGGGAAGAAGAAGAGAGGAAGAGGAGGAGGCUGUCCCAAGGUGCCAGCUUGGAAAUGGCAGAUUCUACUUUCCAUGUGGAGUCACCGCUAACCUUGAAUUUGCGUGAACAUCUAUUACUGCCAAAGGAGAGAGUUGACUUGGAGACAUAUAUAACAGUUUCCCCAGAAAUUGUAUUACCCUCCUGUUUGUAUAUUUCAGCAAUAUCUAAGUGCCUCAUAUGUUUCCUCAGAGUGGGAUAACUUUAGAAUUCAUUUUCUUUCUUAAUUUAAUAAAGGCAGGGCACAUGUAUCCCACCUCCAAGAUCCGGUGUGAUGUUCUCCAUGUAUUGGACAUUUCAAAAUUAUUUGGUGACUAUCUCUAAGCCUAAAGAGGAGGAAAACUCAGCAUUGCCUUUGUGUUGGAAAAGUUAGGAUGCCUUCUUCUCCUUUUGCUAAAUUGGGACAGGUAUGAAGGCAGACAGGCUCCUAUCAGCUGCCCUCACAUGCUGGACUUGAAAGGACACCCAAGGCCAAUAGGCUUGGUGCUAUUCGGCUAAUUGGAGAGAAAAUAUGAUGAAAGGGUCUUCCUGUAAAACACAAAAAAGGAGAACAAGCCAAAGGUCACAGACAUGCAGAUAUCUAUUAAUUAUAAGUGGCUGAGAUUCUGCCCUAGGUGACAUCUCAGUGAUUCUGCUUUUGUGUCCAUUGAUCUGCUUAGAAAGCCCA
rnacentral:lncRNA from 1 species